rnacentral:rRNA from 1 species
AAACGUUGUUCGGAUUUACUGGGCGUAAAGCGCACGUAGGCGGAUCGUUAAGUUGGGGGUGAAAUCCUGGAGCUCAACUCCAGAACUGCCUUCAAUACUGGCGAUCUAGAGUCCGGAAGAGGUGAGUGGAACUCCUAGUGUAGAGGUGGAAUUCGUAGAUAUUAGGAAGAACACCAGUGGCGAAGGCGGCUCACUGGUCCGGUACUGACGCUGAGGUGCGAAAGCGUGGGGAGCAAACAGG